rnacentral:lncRNA from 1 species
CCAAAGCCAAGAAAGAAGUAUACAAACAUCAUCACUUCAGCUCUCUACCACCCACCCUUUUACUAGCCUAAGGGACACUAAAUGACAAAUUCCUCCCAUUGAAGUGUGGUUAUUUUGCAAAAGGACACUCAAUCACAAUAUGCCAAUAACAUCUCAUCAACAUUUAUACUUUGUCUUUCAAAAUUUUAACAAGAUUGAAUGAAUUUAGGAUUGGCACAGCAAUGUCACCAGGAUGGUAUCCACAAUCCUGAAUACAAGGACGGUAUAACAGGUAAGCAACAUAUAAAGAAAGGAAGCUUAGUGGAAUACUUAGAACAUGCAGAUGAAAACAGAGCAUUUAAGUUGCUGAAUAAAUGUUGCAUAAUAGAAUCAACUAACCUCUUUAUGAAAGUCAAAUAAGCUAAAGUAGCUCGGUUGAAUGCCUUCAUUAAUUUUCUUGAAAUGAACAUUACCUCACCAAUUUAGCUUUCUUCAUCUGCAAAGAUAAUAUUGAUUGCUAUUAUCAUCUUGUUCCUUAGGACAAUCACAUAUUAUCGAACUAAAUAGCCAUAAAAUUGAUCAAGCUUUAAAUGGUUUCACACCUAUGGUUUGAGUGUUAGCCUGUGUGGUCAU